rnacentral:tRNA from 1 species
CGCUAAGAAGCUAUGUACCAGCACUAGCCUUUUAAGCUAGAGAAAGAGGACUGCCCCCUCCUUAGUGA